GUCUGUUUGAAGUUAUAAAAAGUCUAACCUGCUCACUGAUAUUUUUAAAGAGCCGCAGUAUUAUAACUGUGCGAAGGUAGCAUAAUCAUUAGGUUUUUAAUUGAAAUCUCGUAUGAAUGGUUGAACAAAUAAAGGACUGUCUUUAUAUUAAAUUUGAAUUUAACUUUUAAGUGAAAAGGCUUAAAUAUUCUAAAAAGACGAUAAGACCCUAUAAAACUUUACAUUAGUCUAAAUAAAAUUGAUUUUAAAAGUAAAGAUUAGUUUAGUUAUUUGUUAUGUUGGGGAGACAAGGGCAUAAGUUUAUAUAACUGCUUUUUAUAAAAAACAAAUAUUUUUGUGUAUAAUUGAUCCUUAAGAUUAAGAUUAUAGAUUAAGUUACUUUAGGGAUAACAGCGUUAUUUUUUUUGAGAGUUCUUAUCGAAAAAAAAAGUUUACGACCUCGAUGUUGAAUUAAAAAUUUCUAUAUAAUGCAGUAGUUAUAUAAGAAGGUCUGUUCGACCUUUAAAUUUUUACAUGAUUUGAGUUCAAACCGGUGUGAG
rnacentral:rRNA from 1 species